UGCGGGGUGGAGCAGUCUGGUAGCUUGUUGGGCUCAUAACCCAAAGGUCGUAGGUUCAAAUCCUACCCCCGCAACCA
rnacentral:tRNA from 1 species